rnacentral:rRNA from 1 species
CCGGUGCCUAACCUUACGGGAGGGAGCCGUCGAAGGUGGGCUUGUGAUUGGGGUGAAGUCGUAACAAGGUACCC